UCAUUUCUGUAGUCAGUCUUCAUUUACUUUCUUUGCAAAUCGAAAGUAUUAGCACCCACGAUGAGGAGGUAUAUCGUUUUAUCCGACAGCGUGAGGUUUAUGAACUUCAUCACUAAUUUUGUCAUAUGACAUAUUUGAGAUGAUGUUUCUUCGAUGAUCGCUCGGUUUUAACGGAUAAAACGACUUCUGAGUGGUCUAAACAAAUUUUAAAUUAAUAAAUUCAAGAGUGUAAAAGAAAUAUAUGAAAGCAUAUGUAUGUACAUACUACUUAUACAAGAAUUAUAGAAAUCUCGUAUCAUUCUUGCUACUUAUACAUACAUACUUAUGUAUAUUGAUUUGGUGUGGUAUUAGUGUGGUAAUUUGGUUUUCUUAUAGAAAUGUAAACUGAGCUGCAAAAUAUCGAAAUACGACGACAGUCUAUUGUUAGUAAUAUGUAGUUUACGAUA